rnacentral:rRNA from 1 species
CAAAAACAUGUCCUUUUGUGAUUAUAAAUAUAAGGUCUGACCUGCCCAAUGAUUAAUUAUUGAAUGGCCGCGGUAUUUUAACUGUGCUAAGGUAGCAUAAUCAUUUGUCUUUUAAUUAAAGGCUAGAAUGAACGGUUGGACAAGGUGUAAGCUUUCUUUAAUUUAGUUAUUGAAUUUAAUUUUUUAGUUAAAAAGCUAAAAUGUAUUUGAGGGACGAGAAGACCCUAUAGAUCUUUAUAUAUUUACUUAUUAUUUAUUUUAGUGAUUAUUAUUGUUUAUAAUAAAUACUUGUAUUUGAUUGGGGUGAUUGUAGAAUUUUAAUAACUACUAUUUUUAUUUUUCAUUAAUUAGUGUUAUCUUGAUCCAUUAUUAUUGAUUAUAAGAUUAAGUUACCUUAGGGAUAACAGCGUAAUUUCUUCUGAGAGCCCAUAUCGAUGAAGGAGUUUGCGACCUCGAUGUUGGAUUAAAAUAAGUUAUAGGUGUAGGAGCUUAUAUACUAGGUCUGUUCGACCUUUGAUUUUUUACAUGAUCUGAGUU